ACUUGUGGCACUUUGAUAACCGCCGGGAGCUGUCAGUGAAGCGGGCUUCUGAAAAAUUUACAGUGCUAAAUCGCAGCAUAUGCUGGAGAAUUUGUCAAAAUCUUGUACAGUAUCUGGCUGCCACCUAGCGUACGGAGUGUCGCUGUAGAACUCCAGAGGAGAAAAGCCAUUCAAAGGGAGCGCGGCGCCUGCUCGCUCACAACGCGUUUUUAUACACCACCGCCCCCCCGCCAACAAAAAAAAACUUCUGCACUUUUAAUGUGAUUAAUUCUUUAGGAUUUUUGCUGUAAUUGACUCGGACGUUGCCGAGCGGGACUGCUGAUCUCCGUCGCUUGGUGUUUCUUCCCCCCCUAGAUCUGCCUGGCCACUGGCUUGACUUAGAUGACUGGGCAUGUGUCUUAUUUCUAAAACAACCGAUUGGUAACAGAUUCGCUUUUAUUCCCACCUACUCCCCCCACCUCCCCAAAAAAGCGGCUUCUUCUAACGCAGCAAAGGCAAAUCGAAGCCGGGUGCUUCAUUUCCCAAUAAGCAAACAUACUCUUUAAAAAAAACCCCAAAUCAUCAGCCGCUUCCGAGGAUCUAGGUAAAAGCGCAUCAGGAAUUAGUGUUCUAUUCCAGUCUCGGCUGACUGUCUGUGUGGAGUUUGCAAGUUCUCCCUGAAUCUCCAUGUGUUUCCUUCAGGUGGUCCAGUUUCCUCCCACAGUCCAAAGAUGUGCAGAAACACAUCUUCUUCCUUGAAACCUCCAAGUUUAAACAAGAAUGUUCUGAGGAAUUCCAAUCCUCAGUAAUUAGUCGCUGCCAACUAAAGCUGCUGCUUGGGAUUUUUGAAGUGAAGAACAAGCAUCAUACUGUCAAUGGAAUUGCAUAACACACUGUAAAAAGAGUCUCAGAAUUCCAUAAACGAUGAGAUUAUUUGCAAUUUAAUCUGCUUUUGAAAUGUUGGCAAGACCACAAUGCAAACUCUAAUACAAAAGUGAAAUCAUGUUGCUGCAGAAAAUCUGAAACAAACGCAAAAGCCUGGAGCUGGAAAACAUCACGAGGAGGUCACAGAACAGAAAGAACAGACCAGUGACAGUUUCAUUUGUUACUUGAAGCACGUGGCCAGCAGUCACCAAUCCUCAGAAGUGAGUGGACUCCAGAAUGUCACAUCUGGAAAGAAGAGACAUUCACAGGAAGGCAUUGAUGUGAAUGUAUCAGCAAAGACAAACUAGCAAAGGAAUGACUUUGUGAAAAAUGCUCUGUUGGGUUAAAGAUGAAAAUUAACACAUUGCAUUCUUUUUAAAGAGCUGUCCUUGUGACUCCUGCAGUCUGAUGUAACCUCAUUCUAAUGCUUGGGCAGAAAUAUUUUCGUUCAAGGAAGGACAUGUUCUAGGAAAGAAACUACUAAUGGAUUAUUUUUGUAAAUAUAUACAUAUCAUACAUAUUUAAUGAUUUAAUUCAUUAACAUUUAUCUUUCUCUGUUUAAAGUUCGAUGGUUGCGUUGAGAAGAUAUCUCCAGUAGAGUAUAAUGUUGGGCUCUAAAAUAUUAAUGUACCAAAUAAAUAUGCUUAUAACAUAUUGUCCCAAAUUUCACUGAUACAUGCGAAUGGCAAUAUUAUGAAACAUGUUCAGUUUAGGAGUCGGUCUAUAAAUAUGUGAUAAGAAUUUGUGUGCAUUAGAAGUAAUAAUAGAUUAAGGGAUGCCCACCAAACAAAUUACAUGUUCCAAACCUAAGUAGCUUAUCAUAUCAUCUUAAUUCUGCUUUGAAAUUAAUUCCUAUAUUUAGGUCUAUAAAACUCUGGUUAGACCACACUUGGAGUAUUGUGUUCAGUUCUGGUCAUCUCGUUAUAGGAAGGAUGAGGAAGCUUUAAAAAUGGCGCAAAGGAGAUUUACCAGGAUUCUGCCUGGACUGGAGGGCAGAUCUUAUGAGGAAAAGUGAGGAAACUAAGGCUUUUCUCAUUGGAACGAAGAAGGAUGAAAGGUGACUUGAUAGAGGUGUACAAAAUGAUGAGGCAUAGAUAGAGUGGAUAGUUAGAGGCUUCUUCCCAGGGCAGAAAUGACUAUUAUGAGAGGCAUAAUUUCAAGGUGAUUGGAGGAAGGUAUAGGGGAGAUGUCAGAGGUAGAGUGGUGGGCGUGAGGAAUGCCCUGCCAGCAGUGGUGGUGGAGUCAGAUACUUUAGAGACUUCUAAGUGACUCUUGGAUAGGCACAUGGAGGAUAGUAAAAUGUAGGGUAUGCAGGGUAGAUUGAUCUUAAUAGGAUAAUAGGCCAGCACAACAUCGUGGGCCGAAGGGCCUGUACUGUGCUGUACCGUUCAAUAUUCUAUGUUCUACGUUCUAUUUAUUCUUUAAACAUAGUAAGAUACAACUUGAAUACUUCUUGGAUUGAAUUUUCUCCAGUCCUACCAGUCUAGGUAUCAUCUUGCGCUCUUUCUCAUUUAAUACUAUCCUUUCUAUAGUAGGAUGACCAGAACUGCAUGCAGUAAUCCAAAUGUGGUCUCACCAAUGUCUUAUACAGCUGCAAUAAGAUGUCCCACCUCCUAUACUCAAUGCUGUAACAGAAGAAAGUAAACAUGCUGAAAGCCUUCUUCGCCAUGUGACUCCACUUUCAAGGAGCUGUGAAUCUGUAUCCCUGGAUCUCUUUGUCAUAGAAUCACAGAAAGGUUAAUAAGAUGAAGAGAUCUAGGGGUACAGGCUCAUAGCUUUCUUUAGUUGACUACAGAUGGCAGGUCUGUCUAUUAGAGUUCUUCUUAUUUGUUGGAAUGCUUCUAUUCUGCACUUUUGGAAUGGCACCUUAAAUGGUUGCUCUUGCAUGAGGAUGGGGCUGGCCAAAGGAUACUUGGCAAAGUGCACACAGGAGAAUCUUUAAAAAAUGUGUCCCUACCUGGACAAGUGGAAAAGAUACUUUACUCUUCUGAAAAGGGUGCCUUGUGGUGAAGUUCUGCUGCCCACUACGCUGCACAGGAACAACUCUUAGCUUGUCUUAUACUUCCUUUGACAUUGAAGGGACCCUAGCACCAAUCUCACUGUCACCAAAUUCUUCAUGGUCUUGUCUUUGGUAGUUUGCUCAAAGCUAAGUACUUGGCAAGAGGAAAGAAACUUGGGAAUGUUCCACUGCAGUUCACUCACAUUCCUACUUUGCCGAUCAAUCCGAGGAUGAAGCCUGGAAAUCCUGGUAGACUAUAAAUGGGGAGGAGAGCGUGGCUGAGUUCAGUCAGUUCCACUUUUCCUUGAACUUAAUGCCUGAGAAAUCAAUAAUUCUCCAGGGACAAAGGGCAGGAAAAUCCAGUUUUGUAUGUCAUGGUGAUGUAAUCUGUAGUUAUAGCAGAUUGUAUGAUUUAAAAGUGAUAUUAUAUGGAGCCCGUUAACAGAAGAACAGCAAGAAUAAAGUGUAACUGUUGUAAAGUAAUUGCAAUGCAAUAAAUACUGCAAAGGCAACAA